GUGGGGAAUAUUGGACAAUGGGGGGAACCCUGAUCCAGCCAUGCCGCGUGUGUGAAGAAGGCCUUUUGGUUGUAAAGCACUUUAAGCGAGGAGGAGGCUACCGAGAUUAAUACUCUUGGAUAGUGGACGUUACUCGCAGAAUAAGCACCGGCUAACUCUGUGCCAGCAGCCGCGGUAAUACAGAGGGUGCAAGCGUUAAUCGGAUUUACUGGGCGUAAAGCGCGCGUAGGUGGCCAAUUAAGUCAAAUGUGAAAUCCCCGAGCUUAACUUGGGAAUUGCAUUCGAUACUGGUUGGCUAGAGUAUGAGAGAGGAUGGUAGAAUUCCAGGUGUAGCGGUGAAAUGCGUAGAGAUCUGGAGGAAUACCGAUGGCGAAGGCAGCCAUCUGGCCUAAUACUGACACUGAGGUGCGAAAGCAUGGGGAGCAAACAGGAUUAGAAACCCGUGUAGUCC
rnacentral:rRNA from 1 species